GACGAACGCUGGCGGCGUGCCUAAUACAUGCAAGUUGAGCGCUGAAGGUUGGUACUUGUACCAACUGGAUGAGCAGCGAACGGGUGAGUAACGCGUGGGGAAUCUGCCUUUGAGCGGGGGACAACAUUUGGAAACGAAUGCUAAUACCGCAUAAAAACUUUAAACACAAGUUUUAAGUUUGAAAGAUGCAAUUGCAUCACUCAAAGAUGAUCCCGCGUUGUAUUAGCUAGUUGGUGAGGUAAAGGCUCACCAAGGCGAUGAUACAUAGCCGACCUGAGAGGGUGAUCGGCCACAUUGGGACUGAGACACGGCCCAAACUCCUACGGGAGGCAGCAGUAGGGAAUCUUCGGAAAUGGACGAAAGUCUGACCGAGCAAAGCCGCGUGAGUGAAGAAGGGUUUCGGAUCGUAAAACUCUGUUGGUAGAGAAGAACGUUGGUGAGAGUGGAAAGCUCAUCAAGUGACGGUAACUACACAGAAAGGGACGGCUAACUACGUG
rnacentral:rRNA from 1 species